UACGUAGGGGGCGAGCGUUGUCCGGAAUUAUUGGGCGUAAAGAGCGUGUAGGCGGUUCGGUAAGUCUGCCGUGAAACCUGGGGACUCAACCCCGGGCGUGCGGUGGAUACUGCCGGGCUAGAGGGUGGUAGAGGCGAGUGGAAUUCCCGGUGUAGCGGUGAAAUGCGCAGAUAUCGGGAGGAACACCAGUAGCGAAGGCGACUUCCUGGCCUGUUCUUGACGCUGAGGCGCGAAAGCUAGGGGAGCAAACGGG
rnacentral:rRNA from 1 species